UCUUCUCGUUCCUCGCCCAAGAGGUAUACAGCACGCUCGUUCAGAAUCGGCGUGGCCACCACGGCCGCUAAGCGGGGUCUGUCCCCUACUGCGAUCAAGGCGCUGGGCCGUUGGUCGUGUGGCGCAUACGCUUCCUGCAUUUGCCUCACUCCUCAUCACGUCGUUGAAGCAUGCUAUAUCUGGUCUGUAACUUUAUGUUUUCUAUUCUCAUUUCUGGUGACGGUGGUAUUUUGCUGCACCGGCGGCAUUCACUCCAUCUCUUGGGGGGCUAUCGCUCCGGUCACCCGGUCAUGUCUGUAUUCUAUCCUUCUCUCAUCUAUCAGAUCGAUUUUAUAGUGGUCCGUAAGCCUGUUAUCUCUAUAUUUUGUAACAUUGAACCAGCCUAGUUGCCAUGGUUGUUUAUCUAUGAUGUCAACUAUCAUACCACAUAUUAUAGCCUACAUUCAUUCAUCCAUCCAUUCAUUUACUCAUUCAUCACCAUGUUCUACUCUCUCUCCUAGGUCACGAUUCCGGCUCUCUACCUACUGUCAUAAUCUAAGUUUUCAGCGCUCUCCUGACCAAGGUGCAUCUAUCAAUCAAAUCAUAACGCUCUGCUGUGUCUCUGCUCUCAGCGCAUCCGCGCCAUGUCUUCUCGCAUAGCCUAAGAUGGUGUCUCCUUGUAAGCGGUAGUUAAGCCGAUUUUGAAGCCACCACCACCCCUCCGUCCACCGUCACCAGAGGUUCCCGUCUGUUAGGGGGCAGGCUACGCCCGCCUCCAUCUCCGCUGGAGGAUAUGCUGUCCUAUCCCGGAGUUCAACGCGAAGACGGGAACCUUCGCCAAACUGAUUCAUGCAUUUUAUCAAGUGUUAUUGUUCGCCAAACUUUUAUGCAUUCCUGUAUCAUGUCUAAUGUUCA